rnacentral:lncRNA from 1 species
UUACAAAAAGUUAAAAGCAAAAGCCCUACCAAACGGGCUCUUGAAAGUUAAAAUAACACAAGCAUUCAAUGAAUGGAGAGCUAAUAAUUAGAAUUUAUCAAAAACAUCUAGCAGAAGAUAUUAAAAAGAAAGAUUAUCUGAAAAUACAGAAGUUAUGGUACUAAGGCAGCGACUGAGUGUAAAUGUAAUCUUCAUUCUCAAAAACAUUUUCUUGUGAAUCCUCUUUGCACGCAGCAUUCUCUUUGUCACAUUUGCCUUUUCCCUGCAUCAACCUCACACAUAAGCUAUAUUUACAUACAUAUAUAACUGUGUGCAGUGUGUGAAAAUUAAUGCUUACCAAGUUCAGCUUCCCAGAAUUCACUGUUGACAGUUCAUCUGUAAGCUCAUGGCUAUUUCCACCUUGACUAACCAAUAGAAAAUGCAGCAGCAAAAACACAAGUGAAGCAAGAAAAAGGCUAGAAAAUUUCAUGUUUUGGAACUUAAAAUCAGUGAUUA